GGCUCAGUGGUUCAAUGGUAAAGCUCUUGUCGCAGAGCCAGAGGGUCCUGGGUUCAAUCCUCAACAGGGUCA
rnacentral:tRNA from 1 species